rnacentral:lncRNA from 1 species
GAAAAUGGCUCCAAGGUUGAACCUAAUUGCUCUAUUUUUGAAGGAAGUGAGAUGAGUUCUCAACAGGGUUUCAAUGACUAUGAAGCUUGGUUCAUGAAUGGAGAAGCAUCCCCUAUUUAUAGGUAAGCCGAGGUAUGGUUUUGGUUGGAGUUUUGAGGUUGAAAUGUCUGAUUUAGCUUGAGCCCGAAAAGUGACAAAAAAGAAAACUUGUUAGCUAAGUGUGGUCUCUCUUUCCUCUGAAAUUC